CGGGGGAGGCCGGAUCCUGGGCUGUGUCCCAGCGCCCUGUGCUCCGGGGCCUGCGCUGUUGGAUUCGCGCUCCCGCCCCGCAGCCCCCU
rnacentral:pre_miRNA from 1 species